AGCUAAAGUGACGGUACCUGCAGAAAAAGCACCGGCUAACUACGUGCCAGCAGCCGCGGUAAUACGUAGGGUGCAAGCGUUGUCCGGAAUUAUUGGGCGUAAAGAGCUCGUAGGCGGUUUGUCGCGUCUGCUGUGAAAACCCCGAGGCUCAACCUCGGGCCUGCAGUGGGUACGGGCAGACUAGAGUGCGGUAGGGGAGAUUGGAAUUCCUGGUGUAGCGGUGGAAUGCGCAGAUAUCAGGAGGAACACCGAUGGCGAAGGCAGAUCUCUGGGCCGUUACUGACGCUGAGGAGCGAAAGGGUGGGGAGCAAACAGGCUUAGAUACCCUGGUAGUCCACCCCGUAAACGUUGGGAACUAGAUGUGGGGACCAUUCCACGGUCUCCGUGUCGUCACUAACGCAUUAAGUUCCCCGCCUGGGGAGUACGGCCGCAAGGCUAAAACUCAAAGGAAUUGACGGGGGCCCGCACAAGCGGCGGAGCAUGCGGAUUAAUUCGAUGCAACGC
rnacentral:rRNA from 1 species